ensembl:lncRNA
AGCUGACAGGGGGGGUGUUGGGUGAGGGGGGACGACAGAUGGGUGUGUUUGAUGUCUCGGCCAGACACGACCUCCCGGGAGGGUUAGGGCGUCAUGGCCAGCUACACCAGACAGCCUGCCUCGUGUUACCCUGACAAAUACGGCCACAGGAUCUCCUGGCAAGAGAAUGAGGUGACAUCACAGUGUGUUUUUUGCACCUGUGUGGACCCAAGAAGUGGACAGGAGGAGUGUGUUUUGUAGGUGCUAUAUAAUAAUGAACCAUGUUUACAGACUGACGGAUAGAAGAACAGGGGGACAACAUGGCUGAUGUUAGCGAACGUUUAGGGACAACACAGGAACACCUAAAGGGGAUCGAUGGGCAUUUCAUCUGUGGCUUUGCACAUAGAAAUAUAAUAGCAAAGUAUUGCUUUUUUAUUCUAUUAAUGUAUACUAUUAAUUAGGGACUCUGGCAUUCAGAUUCUCCUAUUUAGGGAUUUUAGUGUUUGCUUAUUUGGUAGCAAAAUAAUCAUUAGUUUAAAAAAAAAGUUUUCCCACAUUUGCUUUUGAAAAGCAUAGGUUUCUAAAAAGAUACAGUCAACAGUAGUAGGUUAUUUUGCAUGUGUUGAACUUUUUUUGGUAAAGAAAACGCACCCCGUGUACUCACACAAUCGAACACAAAUACGCACACACACACACACACAAACAGAGGCACUUCAACAAACACACACACUCUCAUGGAAACAUUUCACAUGUUAAAGAAAAGGGACUACUUUUUUUUCGUGGAUGGAUACCCCCCCCCCCGUGCAACGGAUAAACAGAGUGAGCCCCCCAGGGGCGGUUGGCCUGCUCCCUGAGCGUAGUGAUACCACAUGUCUCCACUCGGCUGCUAGGGAAGACGGAGCGAGGGCUCGUUGAGAAAGAGUGCCAAAUGAGAUGGAGGCGAAGCCAAGAGGAUGGCAUGGCUACCGUCCACGUCAGAAGAGAGGAAGGAAACACUUGGGCUAUUAUGCUGUUUUGGUUUACUUUUUUUUUUUUUGGUUUGUUGAUUUCUCUUUUUCUAACACACUCCCUGCCACUGAGAAAACAAAACAGGGUACUACUGACUCACUGACACUCGCGCAGUUCUUUCCACAUUUCUCCCCUUUACCCCUUUUCAACAUUAUACGCACAUUACGCUCGAGUGAUGGCUUAGCUGUGUGAUGUUUGUUUUGAUUUGAUUCGAUUUUUUUUAUGAAUUAUGCUGUGCGGUUGAUCGGCACAGCACUGAGCAGUGUAAUUGUCUACUUUAUCGGUUAUUAUUGUUCAGCGUAUGGGAUGUGGGACGGCCCCGAAAAAGCACCGAGCCAGGUAUCUCCCGACUGGUUUUUCGACGGAUCCCUUGUUUACCUUCCGGACUGGUUUACUAUUGGCUGGCGGAGGAAGGGGGGGUGUGUUGAGGUGUGUUAGCAGGAGGUGGGCGGGGACUCCGUCGCUGUACGUGCUCACUCAUCGGCCCAUCUUGUGUUCAUCUCCGUGCGCUGUGUGCGAUCUGUGUGUGCACUGCAGACCUUGGCUAAGAUUCCUUUUGUUUAGGAACCUUCCGGUUACCUCUCCUGUACGUCGGCUUUUCCUUUUCCACUGAACCAAAUAGACUUGCACAUGAAUCUGUGUCCACAUGCAUAAAACACGCACACACACACACACACACACACACACACACACACACACACACACACACACACACACAGUUAGACAGGGCACACACACACACACACACACGCCAAAAGCAUGCGUUUUCAUAGAAUAUACUGUACAGUCAAACAAAAAAGAACAUUGUAUAAUUGUGUUGACUGACACAGUACAUGAUGAUUUGUUGGUAGGUUAAUCGAUUGGUUCGCCAAAGCCAAAUUGUAACAAAUCAAAUACCUCAGGCUGGUUUGGGGGGCACUCUGAUCGUAGCUCCUCAACACACACACACACACAUACACAUGGCGGGAUCUUCUGCUGGGGGCUGGCGGGUUAUAUAUAUACAUAGAAAAAAAAGCAAAAUGUUAAAAUAAAAAGGUGGCAGCCACCUCAGAGCGGUGAAAAUCCUUCUCCCUGUUCGAUGUUUACCAAGGUCCAAGGUCUUCCAGUGCAGUUCUCUGCCCAAGCUCAAUGCAACACAGGUGUAAGACAGAGGAAGUAUGCCGCCAUUAUGGCAUGGAAGCGUAAGAUGGGUACUCUAAAAUGAUUACAUCUCUCUCUCUCUCUUCGUCUCUCUCUCUCCGUCUCUCUCUCUCUCUCUCUCUCUCUCUCUCUCUCUCUCUCGCUCUCUCGCUCUCGCUCUCGCUCGCUCUCUCUCUUCCUAUCUCUCUCUCUCUCUCUUCCUAUCUCUCUCUCUCACCAUCUAAAGCUCUCCAUGUUAGAUUUGGCUGGCAGGAACUGGGUUUUGCUCCUGGGUUUUGCUCCUUAGUUCCACUUCAAAAUGUCUUCGCCUGGCGUGUCUCUUGCGCAUCAAAACCACCACAGUCAUAUCUGCCUUUUUGUACAGGGGGUGGGGAGGGGGUGACCCGACGUCCCUCUCCGUCCCCGUCCCCCCGGCGAUCUCUCUUCAAGCGACUGGAGAGCAACCAUUCCGACUUUUAUUAUUAUUAUUAUUAUUAUUGUGUUAUUUUUCUGCAUAUUUAUUAUGGUUAUCAUAUGUAUCUCCACGUGCUGCUUGUUUUGACCUGACAAGUUGGCCAUAUGCACAUGUAAAAAAAAAAAAAAUGUAUAUCUAUAUAUCAAAAAGCACCGGAACAACCCCUUGCAUUUUCAUUGACUUUCAUAAUGCUUUGUUAUACUCGUUCGACUUUUACAAGACUGCCAUGUUAACUGACUCUUUUAUGUUCACGGUGAAAAGAAGAUACACGAGAUACAACACACUACACACACGCCUAGUACAUACACAUCCUCGUUAUGACAACCCUGCUCUUUUUAAUGGCAAAAUGUAUUUUAAUUAAAUUUAAUGAUUAAUAAUGAGUAAAUGGCAUGCAAUCAUGUAACAAAUUUACUGUUUUAUGUUUGUCCUUUCUCUCUGUUUUUGGGUUUGUUAUUUCUGUUAUGAUGUUAUGAUCACUAAAUGCGUUGUAACCAGGUGUGAGUAUAUACAUAUUGAGAGAAAAAAAAAAAUCUUCGGAAACAUGGUGAUGAUGAUGAUGAUGAUGAUGAUGAUGAUGAUGAUGAUGAUGCUGUUCUUGGGGGGAGAAGGGUGAGGACUUGACCCGAAAGCGACUCUCUUGACUAUCUUGGAGGACGGGCCGCUAUCAGGCCAAUGGGCUCAGGGCUUGGCUCCUGUAGAGGCGGGACUUCCUCGCCCUUCCUCCAAUGGCAGGUGAGAUUCUAGUGUAUCACCAGCUCGGCUUCUCUCUCCUCCCUCUCCUACGCCUGUCGUCCAGACUUCAGCUGUAAAGAAGAAACGCGAAAAAACAAGAGCAACCCUCUACUUUUUGAGUCUGCUAUCCCUCCAAAGAUAUGAGACCUCUUUUCUUUAUGGUUUGCUGUAAGAAUAGAGCUUUUUUUUCUAAAGGGAAAAAAAAACUAAAAACAAAAAUGACGUCCUCAAAGACUUUUAAGGAACUAUUUUGAAUAUAUUUAGAAACGACACCUGUAUACAUCGCUUGUAAAUUCAUACUGGAGUACAUGAUCAUGGAGAAUUAUAAAUGAUAAAGAGUAAAAACAAUAUUUUUUGUGUGAAUUUCACAGGAGCUCUUGUGUACAUUGGCACUGUUUUUCUCUCUCUGUAGAGCGACUAGAAUAAACCUUCACCAUUCACAAGGUCUGCUGUUCUGUCCACAUUCGCCUUGGAUGCACUCCUUUUCAAGUUGAGCGAUGGCUUCCUGUUCAAUCCUUAAGAUUAUCAUAUUAAAAAUGCC